rnacentral:lncRNA from 1 species
AACAAAUUGUAUUUGGGAUGGAUUCUCGAACUUGAUUCCGGAUGAAAUAGUGUGGAAUGCAUUUGCACCAUUAACUAUACCAAAAUUGUAAUAAUACCCUAUAUCAUAAAAUCAAGCAUUAUGAGUGCGUGGGAAAAAAUUGUUCCAAUGGUUACUGAACUUGGGUCCAUGUCUUUAAUUGGUUAUUAAAGUUUAAAAUGUU